rnacentral:misc_RNA from 1 species
GGGGAAGAAAGGAAGAUAUAAAACACGGCAAAAUUAAUCGUCUCAGAAACCCUGGACUAACGAACGUUCUCAUCUUGACGACUGUAAUUCUUCGAUUUAAAGAAAGACAGUGAAGCUAAUCGACUGUGCAGUCGUUGGAAAACCGGUGAAACUAAAUCUGAUAAUCAGAAAAUCAACGCUUCGUUUACCACGAUAACUUCGAAUAGAACGAGGCUUCCCCGAUGACCGGAAAAGAAUCACCGGAAGCGAUCGCUGUGUUCAUUGCGGCGCAACUCCGGCAAAGACGACCGUUAGCUCGAAGUGUUCGAGUAACGUCAUAUGCGUGGAAGGUCGAAAGGAUCGCAAAAUUUUUGACAAAAUAUGGAAGUUACGUGGCUGUCCAGAAGCUUAAAAGCCUUCAGCGACGAUAGCGAAUUUUCGUGUUCCCGAACAAAGUUUAGAAUCGUCUAAUUUUAUCGUUACGUCGAUAUCGUCAAAUGCCAC